GGCUCAUUAGUUCAGUUGGUUAGAACGCUUGCCUGUCACGCAAGAGGUCACCAGUUCAAGUCUGGUAUGAGUCG
rnacentral:tRNA from 1 species